rnacentral:lncRNA from 1 species
CAGGGCCAUGUUGUCAAACAGCAUUGCUUGGUGUGUGCCUCAUCCAGUGGCCUCAGGUAUUUUCUGAGCCACCCCACUCGGAUCUACUCUCACAAAAUCAUUUUUUCCUUUUGGAGGAGGAGAGAAAACAGGGAGAAAUCCAACCCAAGAAACACAUUGAAAAGCCCACCUGAGGGCUGCAGGAGGAGGGGAGGGAGACAGCAGGUAAGCAGGCAGGGAUCAAGGAUUGGCUGAGCACACCAAGGGCUCUCAUGACACAGGAAUCCAGCGUCUCCCCCCACGCGUCCUUGUUUGAAUUUAGCAUGCAUUCUCCUAUGGUGUCAUAAUUACUAAGAUUACCAAAUGAAUCUUUUGUUUCUGUACACACCGGGCAUUCAGCGGAGCUCUAAUAGUUGUCAUUAAGUUUUCAGGGAGGUGGGAGAAGAUAGAUUGAAUGCAUGCACUCCGGCACUGCGCAGAGCCCAUUGAUGGCUGCUGAGUAAUGAUUUUUUUCUAAUUGGUGGAGAGCAGCGGCCCUAAUGGAUGGAGCCUCUCUGUGCAUUUACACUGUCUCCUCAAUCAAUAACCCUCGCUGUGCCUGGCACGGAGGAGUUCCUGAAAGCCCCUUUGCAAUAAUGGAUUGCUGGAGGUUACACAAACCGCUGCCUGCCGCUGAGUCAGCCCUCUGCCAGACACCUUGCAUGGGUGGGAUGGGCAGGGAUGUUCCACGGCCACCGGCACCCUGCAAGCAGCACAAAAGGGGGAAUCAGUCAUACAUAAGUCAGUUUCUCACUGAGCAAGGAAUGUCGGAGGGAAGCAGGUGGCUUCGUUCCCCUACUUUUCAGCAGCAUCUCUCUGCAAGGUCGACUGAAGACUUGCAGAAUCCAUGCCAGAGCCCUGAGAUCCUCCUGCUCCCUGAUGUCUAAGAUCACCUCUGAGACCCACAAGGUCACCACGUCACAGGAUGAAGAAGUCUGUUUCAGGGGCACGGGAAUGCUUUUUGCCUGCACCAGAAACAGCCCACAUGCUCCAGAGGUGCACAUCGAUGUACAUCGGGAAGACAGGAUGGCAGAAAUCUGGUCAGAGUUCCGUUAUCUCAUCGGUGCUGCAGGAGUUAAAAUAAAUACAUAGGUUUUCAGAGCGAAACA